rnacentral:rRNA from 1 species
CUAAGCCUAAAUACUCCCUGGUGACCGAUAGCGGACAAGUACCGUGAGGGAAAGGUGAAAAGUACCCCGGGAGGGGAGUGAAAUAGUACCUGAAACCGUGUGCCUACAAGCCGUGGGAGCGUCGUCGUCGAGCUUGCUCGGCGGCCGUGACUGCGUGCCUUUUGAAGAAUGAGCCUGCGAGUUAGUGAUGCGUGGCGAGGUUAACCCGUCGAGGGGAAGCCGUAGCGAAAGCGAGUCCGAAUAGGGCGAUUGAGUCGCGUGUUCUAGACCCGAAGCGGAGUGAUCUACCCAUGGCCAGGGUGAAGCGCGGGUAAGACCGCGUGGAGGCCCGAACCCACCAGGGUUGAAAACCUGGGGGAUGAGCUGUGGGUAGGGGUGAAAGGCCAAUCAAACUCCGUGAUAGCUGGUUCUCCCCGAAAUGCAUUUAGGUGCAGCGUCGCGUGUUUCUUGCCGGAGGUAGAGCACUGGAUAGCUAAUGGGCCCUACAAGGUUACUGACGUUAGCCAAACUCCGAAUGCCGGUAAGUGAGAGCGCGGCAGUGAGACAGUGGGGGAUAAGCUCCAUUGUCGAGAGGGAAACAGCCCAGACCAUCAGCUAAGGCCCCUAAGCGGUGACUAAGUGGAAAAGGAUGUGGAGUCGCAGUGACAACCAGGAGGUUGGCUUGGAAGCAGCCACCCUUGAAAGAGUGCGUAAUAGCUCACUGGUCAAGUGAUUCCGCGCCGACAAUGUAGCGGGGCUCAAGUCAUCCGCCGAAGCUAUGGCAUUCAUGCCCCCCUUUGUGGGGAGACGCCAAGCCGUCAGUCCUUGUGGCUGGUUGGUUCAGGUGUGUGGAUGGGUAGGGGAGCGUCGUGUCGCGGGUGAAGCAGCGGAGUGAUCCAGUUGUGGAUGCGACACGAGUGAGAAUGCAGGCAUGAGUAGCGAAUGAAGAGCGAGAAACUCUUCCGCCGAAUGAUCAAGGGUUCCAGGGUCAAGCUAAUCUGCCCUGGGUAAGUCGGGACCUAAGGCGAGGCCGACAGGCGUAGUCGAUGGACAACGGGUUGAUAUUCCCGUACCGGUAAAGUAGCGCCCAUGACGAGCCCGGUGAUGCUAACCAUCUGAAACUCAUCUGACUGGAGGCCUUCGGGCCCGAGGCGGGUGAGCGUAGCGUGGGACCCGAACCGGUAGUAGUCAAGCGAUGGGGUGACGCAGGAAGGUAGCCCAACCGCAGCGAUGGUAGUCUGCGGCCAAGCAUGUAGGGAGAGAGAUAGGUAAAUCCGUUUCUCUGACUUUGAUGUCGUUCCUGAGGUGUGAUGGGGACCCCGUAUGGGGGAAGUGGGUAAUCCUAUGCUGUCGAGAAAAACCUCUAGCGAGCUAUACGCCGCCCGUACCCCAAACCGACUCAGGUGAUCAGGUAGAGAAUACUAAGGCGAUCGAGUGAACCAUGGUUAAGGAACUCGGCAAAAUGCCCCCGUAACUUCGGGAGAAGGGGGGCCCGGAGCGUGUACCCACUUGCUGGGGAAGCGUGAAGGGCCGCAGAGACCAGGCCCAAGCGACUGUUUACUAAAAACACAGGUCCGUGCGAAGUUGUAAGACGAUGUAUACGGACUGACUCCUGCCCGGUGCUGGAAGGUUAAGAGGACGGGUCAGCCACGCAAGUGG